rnacentral:lncRNA from 1 species
CGUGGUUUGGUACGUUGAAGUGUGGUGGUUGAUGUAUCCAGUACAGUGGUGGUUAGAAGAAGGAGUGUCGGCGUUUGGUGGAGAGCGAUGGAAGAAGAUGAACGGCCUUUUUGUGGUGGUGAAUGGUGGAGGUAACGGCGGUUAUGGUGGAAUUCCGACAGAGAGAGAUAAGAGAGUGGUGGUUGGUUUAGGAGAAUGAACACUGAGUGAGGGACGCAUGGUGAGAGAAGAGAGAUACGUCAGAGUUUGUUGUGAGUGGGUGAGGAUUAUUUUGUGAGUGGAGUGAUUGGUAGUAAUAGGUGAGAGGGAAACGUAUGGAGGGGGUAGUGGGUAUUUAUGAGUGAGUGAUUCAUGUGAGUGGGGGUGAGGUGGAUCGUGUAGAGAGUGGAGUAUCCUUUUUAAUUUAUUUAUUUUUGUUUUUUAUUCGUUGGCCAGAGAUAGUAUGAGUUGGUUCCUUCUUUGCAAUUUUUUUAUUUUUUUAUUUUGUUUUUUAUGUCCUUAUCCAUUUCAUGACCAUUGGAGGAAAAUAUGUGAGUGGAGGAGGGUAUACCAAUUUGUUUGCCAACUGUCAGAAAAAUCUGAGAGACCUUUGGAUGUUAGUUGGCCUUUUGCAAAAGGAAUCCAAAGCUGUCAAUUUUGUUUUGAAAACAAUUAUU